rnacentral:lncRNA from 1 species
AUACUUUUCAAUUUGUUGUCCUUCUUCCACUUCAUGCGCCGGUUCUGGAACCAGAUCUUGAUCUGGCGCUCGGACAGGCAGAGUGCGUGGGCGAUCUCGAUGCGCCGUCGCCGGGUCAGGUAGACUUCGCUUGAAAAGAUCGAGAAUGGAGGAGGGGAUCGGCACUCACUUGCAGACAUCAACAGUUUCCAGAAAAUUCGGUUCAAUUCCUUCACCACGGACCCACCAACCAAGGAGCUGGCAAAACCCACUAACCAACCAGGAGAACACAGACCCGGUUUGUCUUUUGACAACCGAGUGGAACUGACGGGGCCGGCGCCUGCCCUGCGGGUCCCCUCCCUUGGCUGAGAAGAAAACCAAAUAAACCUUGAACAGCCUUGGC